CCUACGGGGGACAGCAGUGAGGAAUAUUGGUCAAUGGACGCAAGUCUGAACCAGCCAUGCCGCGUGCAGGAAGACGGCUCUAUGAGUUGUAAACUGCUUUUGUACGAGGGUAAAUCCCGAUACGUGUAUCGGGUUGAAAGUAGCGGAUGAAUAAGGAUCGGCUAACUCCGUGCCAGCAGCCGCGGUAAUACGGAGGAUUCUAGCGUUAUCCGGAUUUAUUGGGUUUAAAGGGUGCGUAGGCGGUUCGCUAAGUUAGGGGUGAAAUCCCGGGGCUCCACUCCGGCACUGCCUCUGAUACUGUCGGGCUAGCGUUUCGUUGCGGUAGGCGUAAUGUCUGGUGUAGCGG
rnacentral:rRNA from 1 species